rnacentral:tRNA from 1 species
AGAAGUUUAGGAUACCCAGUCCAAGAGCCUUCAAAGCCCUAAGCAAACCUACA